UCAACUUGAGAGUUUGAUCCUGGCUCAGAACGAACGCUGGCGGCAGGCUUAACACAUGCAAGUCGAGCGCACUCUUCGGAGUGAGCGGCGGACGGGUUAGUAACGCGUGGGAACGUGCCCUUUUCUAAGGAAUAGCCACUGGAAACGGUGAGUAAUACCUUAUACGCCCUUCGGGGGAAAGAUUUAUCGGAGAAGGAUCGGCCCGCGUUAGAUUAGAUAGUUGGUGGGGUAACGGCCUACCAAGUCUACGAUCUAUAGCUGGUUUUAGAGGAUGAUCAGCAACACUGGGACUGAGACACGGCCCAGACUCCUACGGGAGGCAGCAGUGGGGAAUCUUGGACAAUGGGCGCAA
rnacentral:rRNA from 1 species